GGAUGUGAGGAUGAUCUGGCUGCAACAUCUGUCACCUCAUUGAUUGCCAGGGUUGAUUCGGCUGAUCUGGCUGGCAAGGCGGGUGCUCCCUUCCUCCCUCACCACUCCAUGUACGUCCCUCCCAAAGCUGCAUGUUCACCGGAUAGAGAAGGACCGGUCUUUGGUCAAGGGUAUACGAGAAGCUGCGCUUCCCUGCUGGAACCUCCAAACAAGCCCUCAAUAUAUAUAAAGGACUUAGAACUCCCCCUGUCACAGAGUCAGCAUUAUGUAUUAGUUGCUGGUACUGUUG
rnacentral:snRNA from 1 species